AUAUGUCAGUAGGAAGGGAUACUUCUCUGUGGUGUUGCAGGUGCUUGUGGAUCACCGGCGGGCGUUUCACAGACAUCAAUGCAGGCUGUUCAAGGACAUCAGUGAAG